GAUGAACGCUGGCGGCGUGCCUAAUACAUGCAAGUCGAGCGAACGGACGAGAAGCUUGCUUCUCUGAUGUUAGCGGCGGACGGGUGAGUAACACGUGGAUAACCUACCUAUAAGACUGGGAUAACUUCGGGAAACCGGAGCUAAUACCGGAUAAUAUUUUGAACCGCAUGGUUCAAAAGUGAAAGACGGUCUUGCUGUCACUUAUAGAUGGAUCCGCGCUGCAUUAGCUAGUUGGUAAGGUAACGGCUUACCAAGGCAACGAUGCAUAGCCGACCUGAGAGGGUGAUCGGCCACACUGGAACUGAGACACGGUCCAGACUCCUACGGGAGGCAGCAGUAGGGAAUCUUCCGCAAUGGGCGAAAGCCUGACGGAGCAACGCCGCGUGAGUGAUGAAGGUCUUCGGAUCGNUAAACUCUGUUAUUAGGGAAGAACAUAUGUGUAAGUAACUGUGCACAUCUUGACGGUACCUAAUCAGAAAGCCACGGCUAACUACGUGCCAGCAGCCGCGGUAAUACGUAGGUGGCAAGCGUUAUCCGGAAUUAUUGGGCGUAAAGCGCGCGUAGGCGGUUUUUUAAGUCUGAUGUGAAAGCCCACGGCUCAACCGUGGAGGGUCAUUGGAAACUGGAAAACUUGAGUGCAGAAGAGGAAAGUGGAAUUCCAUGUGUAGCGGUGAAAUGCGCAGAGAUAUGGAGGAACACCAGUGGCGAAGGCGACUUUCUGGUCUGUAACUGACGCUGAUGUGCGAAAGCGUGGGGAUCAAACAGGAUUAGAUACCCUGGUAGUCCACGCCGUAAACGAUGAGUGCUAAGUGUUAGGGGGUUUCCGCCCCUUAGUGCUGCAGCUAACGCAUUAAGCACUCCGCCUGGGGAGUACGACCGCAAGGUUGAAACUCAAAGGAAUUGACGGGGACCCGCACAAGCGGUGGAGCAUGUGGUUUAAUUCGAAGCAACGCGAAGAACCUUACCAAAUCUUGACAUCCUUUGACAACUCUAGAGAUAGAGCCUUCCCCUUCGGGGGACAAAGUGACAGGUGGUGCAUGGUUGUCGUCAGCUCGUGUCGUGAGAUGUUGGGUUAAGUCCCGCAACGAGCGCAACCCUUAAGCUUAGUUGCCAUCAUUAAGUUGGGCACUCUAAGUUGACUGCCGGUGACAAACCGGAGGAAGGUGGGGAUGACGUCAAAUCAUCAUGCCCCUUAUGAUUUGGGCUACACACGUGCUACAAUGGACAAUACAAAGGGCAGCGAAACCGCGAGGUCAAGCAAAUCCCAUAAAGUUGUUCUCAGUUCGGAUUGUAGUCUGCAACUCGACUACAUGAAGCUGGAAUCGCUAGUAAUCGUAGAUCAGCAUGCUACGGUGAAUACGUUCCCGGGUCU
rnacentral:rRNA from 1 species